GUGGAUUAGCUACCCUGGUAGUCCUAGCUGUCAACGAUGGAUACUAGGUGUGGGAAGUUAUCGACGCUUUCCGUGCCGAAGCUAACGCAUUAAGUAUCCCGCCUGGGGAGUACGGCCGCAAGGCUAAAACUCAAAGGAAUUGACGGGGGCCCGCACAAGCGGCGGAGCAUGUGGCUUAAUUCGACGCAACGCGAAGAACCUUACCAAGGUUUGACACCAUACUGAAGGUUAGAGAAAUGUAACUGCCCGCAAGGGCAGUAUGACAGGUGGUGCAUGGUCGUCGUCAACU
rnacentral:rRNA from 1 species